UGAGUGUACUCAGAGCAGGGAACCUAGAGAAUGGCUUCCCUCUUUCCAAUACACCCAAGAAGAAUAUGAGGCCAUUGUAACGAGAGGCUCAGCACUGCAUAAUCUCUGUGAGUAGAUCCUCUACAUGU